rnacentral:rRNA from 1 species
UUCUAAAAUUUAUAAUAGAAUUUUAUUUUUUAGUCAAAAAGCUAAAAUAUAAUUAAAAGACGAGAAGACCCUAUUCAUCUUUAUACAUAAAUUAUUAGAAUUUUGUAGAUUUUUUUUAUUAUAAUAAUUAAUUGUAUUUUAUUGGGGUGAUAUUAAAAUUUAAUAAACUUUUAAUUUUAAAAAUCAUUAAUUUAUGAGUAAUUGAUCCGUUAUUAACGAUUAAAAAAAUAAGUUACCUUAGGGAUAACAG